CCUACGGGGGGCAGCAGUGGGGAAUAUUGGACAAUGGGCGAAAGCCUGAUCCAGCCAUGCCGCGUGUGUGAAGAAGGCCUUCGGGUUGUAAAGCACUUUCAGUGGGGAAGAAAGCCUUGGGGCUAAUACCCUCGAGGAAGGACAUCACCCACAGAAGAAGCACCGGCUAACUCCGUGCCAGCAGCCGCGGUAAUACGGAGGGUGCGAGCGUUAAUCGGAAUUACUGGGCGUAAAUCGCGCGUAGGCGGUCUGAUAAGCCGGUUGUGAAAGCCCCGGGCUCAACCUGGGAACGGCAUCCGGAACUGUCAGGCUAGAGUGCAGGAGAGGAAGGUAGAAUUCCCGGUGUAGCAGUGAAAUGCGUAGAGAUCGGGAGGAAUACCAGUGGCGAAGGCGGCCUUCUGGACUGACACUGACGCUGAGGUGCGAAAGCGUGGGUAGCAAACAGGAUUAGAUACCCUAGUAGUC
rnacentral:rRNA from 1 species